rnacentral:misc_RNA from 1 species
UAACCACUCAAGCUCUCGCUUGGUAUUGGGGUUCGCGGUUUCGCGGCUCCUAAAAUCAGUGGCGGUGCCUGUCGGCUCUACGCGUAGUAAUACUCCUCGCGUCUGGGUCCGGUAGGUCUACUUGCCAGCAACCCCCAAUUUUUACA